rnacentral:rRNA from 1 species
UACGUAGGUUGCAAGCGUUGUCCGGAAUUAUUGGGCGUAAAGCGCGCGCAGGUGGUUCCUUAAGUCUGAUGUGAAAGCCCACGGCUCAACCGUGGAGGGUCAUUGGAAACUGGGGAACUUGAGUGCAGAAGAGGAAAGUGGAAUUCCAAGUGUAGCGGUGAAAUGCGUAGAGAUUUGGAGGAACACCAGUGGCGAAGGCGGCUCGCUGGACAGUGACUGACACUGAACUACGAAAGCGUGGGGAGCAAACAGG